UACGUAGGGUCCAAGCGUUAUCCGGAAUCACUGGGCGUAAAGCGUGCGUAGGCGGCGUGUUAAGUGUGGUGUUAAAUCGUGUGGCUCAACCAUAUCGAUGCAUCACAUACUGGCAUGCUAGAGGAAGGCAGAGGCAAGUGGAAUUUGUAGUGUAGCAGUGAAAUGCGUAGAUAUUACAAGGAACACCAAUGGCGAAAGCGGCCACCUGGCCCGGCCCUGACACUGAAACGCGAAAGCUAGGGUAGCGAACGGG
rnacentral:rRNA from 1 species